GUUUUGCUAAAGCCCUAACUUACCCAGGCUGAGGGUGCUGCCCUCCUGCCACGACCUCCUAGAGGGCAGGGUGCUAGGUGGACUAGCUCUGCCAGCUCCUUGACUCUAGCUUGGUUUCUACUCCUGCCCCCCUCCCCCAAAGAGGAGGGCGGGUACUAAGACUGCAUCAAGAGAGACCAGAGCUCCAGGUCACCCAGGAACAAGCAAUGCAGCCAGAUGGCCAGUCCCCAUCCGUUGCUCCAUUACUCGGGCCAUCAGAGCCUGUUCUGCCUGCUCUGACCUGCCUUGCGGUGCAGGCCUCAUGAUUCACAGGCUUCUCUCCCAUGCCUGGCGGGAGAGGGAGGGCCAGCUCUGCUGACAAAGGAGGCUCCUAGGAGAAACUGGGUGGGGGUGGUCAUGGAGGGCUUCCUGGAAAAGGCCACUCUGUCCAAGCCACAGGAAGAACCUCCAAGCUCCUCACUGGUGAUGCUUAUGGUUUGGAAGCUGUGCUUCAAGAUGCUUAAGGUUUGGAAGCUGUGCUUCAAGAACAGACAGGAGCAGGCCAGUCCUCGGAUAAUGACAUACUUCUCUGGGUCCCUACAGAGACACCCUCCCCCAAACCUGUAGAGAGGAUGACAUCUAAGGAUAUGCAGCUCGUCCUGUCCCCUUCCUAUGCAGUUUGUCCUCUAACCCCAAUCAGCCUUGCAAUCAAGCUUUUGUUUUGCUCUUUUGCAGUACUGAGGAUGGAACCCAGGGCCUCCACAGUGAGUUACAUUUUUAAAUUUGGAGUAGGAACUCACUAAGUGGCUAAAUUGCCCAGGCUAAGAUCCAGCUUGUGAUUCUGGUGCCUCAGCUUCCCAGAACGCCGGGAUUACAGGUGUGUGCACACCUGGCUUCAGACUCUUUUCUGACCAUCAAUAUUCAUGCAUCAAUAUUGGUUUCUGUACACAUCAGGCACUUGCCUAACAAGUGCCUUCUGCCUAAGAAGAUCACAGUGACGACCUCAAGUGGGCAUAUCUUUUGGGAAGCUGCAGCCAGCAACCACACUGUCCUUAACUCUGUGGGAAAGCUGUGGCCAGAAAGGACCAGAGACAGGAGUGACGCUGCAGAUGCCCUGAAGCUCACCUUCCUAACCCUUUGAGAAAGCUGGCAGCCCAGCCUCUCCUCUGGUUUAAUGUGGCAGCUGCCAGCCACACACAGCUGCUGAGCCCUCGAACCGUAGUGGGUGUGAUUUCCGAUGGCGCUGGAGUCUACUGUAGGCCACAUCUUCACAACUUAGUGUGGGACAAAGGCAGUGAAACAUCUCGCUCAUACGUUUCUGUGGAUUUUGUGUUGAAGCAACACUCCGGAUAUAUUGGGUUAAAAAGAAAUAGAAUUCAAGUUAAAUUCUUUUUUUUUUUUUUUUUUUUGUCUUUUUCAUUUUUAUCGGUACUGGGAAUCGAACUCACGACCGCCUGCUUGCAAGGCAGGCACUUAUGCCGCUGAGAUAAAUCCCCAGCCCCCAAGUUCUUUUUUUUUAUUUAAAAAAAAAAAACUGCAAUGAAAUGCACAUAACAUAAAAUUGACCGUCUUAAGGUACACAGUUCAGUGGUGUUUAAGCCGACACCCUGUGCCCACGAGCAGUCAUCUCCAUCCCCUCGCCCUCCACCCUGGCCACCACCAAUCUGCUGCCUGUGCCUGCCAACUGACCUGUUCUGAAUACCUCAUCCAAUAGAAGCACAUGAUCUUUGUCCAUCCGUGCUUGGCUCCUCCUACCGAGCAUAAUGUCACUAGGGUAUAGCCCUGACAGUGGGGAUGUCAUUCCUUUUGUGGCUCAGUUACACCCACCUGGUGGACACUCCACUCCUCCAUGGUGGGCACCCAGUUCUUCCCACCUUUCAGUCACUGUGACCAUCUUCUUCCUUUGUCACCAUGCGCCCAGAAAGGGUGCCCUGCAACCCGAAUCACCUUGGGAGUGGACAAGCUGUAAUACAGAUGAUACCAGCUGCACCGAAAAUUCUAUCAGAUGGUUCCCUUCUGCGCUGAAAAUUCUAUCACUGGCUAUUUCCAAAACAACACACCUAAUAUUCCCAGGAGUCGCAGCUGUAUCAGGACAUCAGAAGGAGGAACAUUCUCUAAAGACCCUCCCUCCUUGGGCUGAGAUUUGAUUUCAAUUCGUACAUGAUUCAAGACCUCUGAAGGUCCAUGGACCCCCAAAAAGGAACAAGGAAGACCUAUUGUGGCUGACUUUUUGAGACAGGUUCUUGCUGUGUAGUUCUCAGGGAUUCUUUUGCCUCAGCCACCCUCGUGCUGGGAUCGCUGUGAGUUUGGAGCCAGCCUGAACUAUAUAUCAAGAUGCUGUCUCAGAUCAAGUGUUAUGGCUUGUUUAAAUGUCCCCCUGGAGCCUCGUGCAGUUAUGAAGGUGGCAGAGUCUAGCGUGUGGGAUUGCUUUGUUGUCUAGCCCUAGGACUGGAGGUGUGAGUGAUGCCCCCAACCAGGGACAGGUAACUCCCACGCGACACAGGGGAAGGAAGAAGUGUGCCUUUCCCCUUUUGCCCGUUUUACCCUCGUCGCUUGGCCACCAUGAGUGGCUUCCUGAGCCGUGCCACUCUGGCUGGGAGCCAGUUGAUAAUGGACUGAAACCUCCACAAACUGGAAGCUAAAUAAACCUUCCUUCCCCUAA